ACAAGACGGAGGAACAUGUGGUUUAAUUCGAUGAUACGCGAGGAACCUUACCUGGGCUAGAACGCAUUCGGAAUCAGGCCGAAAGGCCUGCGCCAGCGAUGGCCGCUUGCGAGGUGCUGCAUGGUUGUCGUCAGCUCGUGCCGUGAGGUGUCGGGUUAAGUCCCAUAACGAGCGCAACCCCUACUGCUAGUUGCCAGCGGGUCAUGCCGGGGACUCUAGCGGAACUGCCAGCGUAAGCUGCGAGGAAGGUGGGGAUGACGUCAAAUCAGCACGGCCCUUACGUCCAGGGCUACACACGUGUUACAAUGGCCGGUACAGAGGGCAGCCACCCCGCGAGGGGGCGCGAAUCCCGAAAGCCGGUCCCAGUUCGGAUCGGAGUCUGCAACCCGACUCCGUGAAGCUGGAUUCGCUAGUAAUCGCGCAUCAGCCACGGCGCGGUGAAUACGUUCCCGGGCCUU
rnacentral:rRNA from 1 species